AGCGGCGGACGGGUGAGUAACGCGUGGGUAACCUGCCCUGUACACACGGAUAACAUACCGAAAGGUAUGCUAAUACGAGAUAAUAUACUUUUAUCGCAUGGUAGAAGUAUCAAAGCUCCGGCGGUACAGGAUGGACCCGCGUCUGAUUAGCUAGUUGGUAAGGUAACGGCUUACCAAGGCGACGAUCAGUAGCCGACCUGAGAGGGUGAUCGGCCACAUUGGAACUGAGACACGGUCCAAACUCCUACGGGAGGCAGCAGUGGGGAAUAUUGCACAAUGAGCGAAAGCCUGAUGCAGCAACGCCGCGUGAGCGAUGAAGGCCUUCGGGUCGUAAAGCUCUGUCCUCAAGGAAGAUAAUGACGGUACUUGAGGAGGAAGCCCCGGCUAACUACGUGCCAGCAGCCGCGGUAAUACGUAGGGGGCUAGCGUUAUCCGGAAUUACUGGGCGUAAAGGGUGCGUAGGUGGUUUCUUAAGUCAGAGGUGAAAGGCUACGGCUCAACCGUAGUAAGCCUUUGAAACUGGGAAACUUGAGUGCAGGAGAGGAGAGUGGAAUUCCUAGUGUAGCGGUGAAAUGCGUAGAUAUUAGGAGGAACACCAGUUGCGAAGGCGGCUCACUGGACUGUAACUGACACUGAGGCACGAAAGCGUGGGGAGCAAACAGGAUUAGAUACCCUGGUAGUCCACGCCGUAAACGAUGAGUACUAGCCGU
rnacentral:rRNA from 1 species